ensembl:snoRNA
AUGCUCUGCACAUGAUGAAAACUAUGUUGGUAGGGACAUCUGAGAGAGGGUGAUGAAUGCCAACAUAUCUGAGCUGGGCAU